rnacentral:rRNA from 1 species
CCUACGGGAGGCAGCAGUGAGGAAUAUUGGUCAAUGGCCGGAAGGCUGAACCAGCCAAGCCGCGUGAAGGACGACGGCGCUAUGGGUUGUAAACUUCUUUUGUACAGGGAUAAACUGAGGCACGUGUGCCUGUUUGUAGGUACUUGAUGAAUAAGGAUCGGCUAACUCCGUGCCAGCAGCCGCGGUAAUACGGAGGUUGCCAGCGUUAUCCGGAUUUAUUGGGUGUAAAGGGAGCGUAGGCGGGCUGUUAAGUUUGAGGUGAAAGGCCGGGGCUUAACCCGGGGAGUGCGUUGGAAACUGGCGGUCUUGAGAGCAGAAGAGGGAGGUGGAAUGCGAAGUGUAGCGGUGAAAUGCUUAGAUAUAGCGCAGAACACCGAUUGCGAAGGUAGCAUACCGG